rnacentral:rRNA from 1 species
GUUCUACCUUGACGAAUUGUAGUUUAAAGAAGUGUUUUCUGUUAGAUGGGUAGCAAAAGUCCCUUGGAAUGGGACAUCAUAGAGGGUGAGAAUCCCGUAUUUGGUUAUUCAUUCUAGCUUUGUGGUACACUUUCAAUGAGUCGGAUUGUUUGGGAAUGCAGUCCAAAAUGGGUGGUAAAUUUCAUCUAAAGCUAAAUAUUGGCGAGAGACCGAUAGCGAACAAGUACCGUGAGGGAAAGAUGAAAGGAACUUUGAAAAGGGAGUUAAACAGUACGUGAAAUUGUCAAAAGGGAAGCGUUUGACACCAGUGUUGUUUUUCCGAAAAUCAAUUACGAAUGGCUUGAUUUUGUGUUGUAUUGACCUUAUCAGCUUUCUUCACUUUUUUCGAGUCUUUCUU